AACGAACGCUGGCGGCAUGCCUAACACAUGCAAGUCGAACGAGACCUUCGGGUCUAGUGGCGCACGGGUGCGUAACGCGUGGGAACCUGCCCUUAGGUUCGGAAUAACUCCCCGAAAGGGGUGCUAAUACCGGAUAAUGUCUUCGGACCAAAGAUUUAUCGCCUUUGGAUGGGCCCGCGUUGGAUUAGCUAGUUGGUAGGGUAAAAGCCUACCAAGGCGACGAUCCAUAGCUGGUCUGAGAGGAUGAUCAGCCACACUGGCACUGAGACACGGCCCAGACUCCUACGGGAGGCAGCAGUGGGGAAUAUUGGAGACGGGGCGAAAGCCUGAUCCAGCAAUGCCGCGUGAGUGAUGAAGGCCUUAGGGUUGUAAAGCUCUUUUACCCGGGAUGAUAAUGACAGUACCGGGAGAAUAAGCUCCGGCUAACUCCGUG
rnacentral:rRNA from 1 species